rnacentral:ncRNA from 2 species
GAGCACACACACGGGGGCCCGAGGGAUGAAUCGGGCUGAGAUCGCGGCUCACCGCCGCCGACCGUCGCACCUGAUCCGGGUAAUGCCGGCGAAGGAAGGGAGUGGAACGAGUGA